rnacentral:rRNA from 1 species
CCAGACUCCUACGGGAGGCAGCAGUGAGGAAUCUUCCACAAUGGGCGAAAGCCUGAUGGAGCAACGCCGCGUGCAGGAUGAAGGCCUUCGGGUUGUAAACUGCUUUUAUAAGUGAGGAAUAUGACGGUAACUUAUGAAUAAGGAUCGGCUAACUACGUGCCAGCAGCCGCGGUCAUACGUAGGAUCCGAGCGUUAUCCGGAGUGACUGGGCGUAAAGAGUUGCGUAGGCGGUUUGUUAAGCGAAUAGUGAAACCUGGUGGCUCAACCAUACAGACUAUUAUUCGAACUGGCAAACUCGAGAGUGGUAGAGGUCACUGGAAUUUCUUGUGUAGGAGUGAAAUCCGUAGAUAUAAGAAGGAACACCAAUGGCGUAGGCAGGUGACUAGACCAUUUCUGACGCUAAGGCACGAAAGCGUGGGGAGCGAACCGGAUUAGAUACCCGGGUAGUCCACGCCGUAAACGAUGGAUACUAGCUGUUGGAGGUAUCGACCCCUUCAGUAGCGAAGCUAACGCGUUAAGUAUCCCGCCUGUGGAGUACGGCCGCAAGGCUAAAACAUAAAGGAAUUGACGGGGGCCCGCACAAG